ACAUGCUAACAGCAUAGCGCUAAUGCAUCAGAUCCCAUUAGAACUUUGCAGUUAAGCACGCUCGGGAUAGAUUAGUACUAGGAUGUGUCACUGCCCGGGAAGUCCUAGUGUUUUACAUGCC
rnacentral:rRNA from 1 species